rnacentral:lncRNA from 1 species
UCAUUUUUUUUUAAAAAAAGUAAUGCAAACAGAAUGUUCAAUUAAAAUGUAGCGACUGAAGUUUCAAUGGAUUAAACACGGUAGAUCAGACAUAUGAGAUCGACCAACAGAAGUCAAGCACCUUCAAGAGCCUCCAUGUAUGGGAUGCACACAAAAAAUCCUUUUAUGCAAACAAGACCACUCUAAACUAAAUAAUUCGUACAGUUUCAAAUGUUGUUACCGGCAGGCCCUCCUCAACACGCACACACUGUCUCUCUCUCUCUCUCUCGAUCCAUCGAUUCCAUUACGGAGCUCGAGGUCGAUGGACUUCUGUCAACUCUCUUCUGAUUCCUUCCUCUCCUUCUUUGUCCAAGAUGCGAGCUUUACGGAAAGAAAGACGCCAUUUUUCUCGCCAAGCUGUUCUUUUUUGGAUCCUAGGAUCGCCAUUGGAGCGGAGAAAGCACAGGGAUUUGGGGAAAUCGAUCUCUGAUUAUGUUGGGGAUGGAAAGGGAGAGGAUCGGUGGUUGGUUUGGGGGCUGAGCUGAUGCGCUCUUCCACCAAAUCGGUAGGGGAGUG